GUUUUCCUGUGGCUCAGUCAGUAGAGCGUUAUGCUAGCAACACAAAGGUUGUUGGUUCAGACCCUAGGGAAAGCA